AGAGUUUGAUCCUGGCUCAGGACGAACGCUGACGGUGUGCUUUAGACAUGCAAGUCGAACGAGAAAGCCCUUCGGGGUGAGUAAAGUGGCGAACGGGUGAGUAACACGUGGGCAAUCUGCCCCUCGCAGGGGGACAACCGGGGGAAACCCCGGCUAAUACCCCGUAAGCUCGAAAGGCCGCAUGGCCCUUUGAGGAAAGGUAGCUUCGGCCAUCCGGCGAGGGAUGAGCCCGCGGUGCAUUAGCUUGUUGGUGGGGUAACGGCCCACCAAGGCGACGAUGCAUAGCUGGUCUGAGAGGAUGAUCAGCCACACUGGGACUGAGACACGGCCCAGACUCCUACGGGAGGCAGCAGUCGGGAAUCUCGCGCAAUGGGCGAAAGCCUGAUGGAGCGACGCCGCGUGCGGGACGAAGCCUUUCGGGGUGUAAACCGCUUUUAGAAGGGAUGACACUCCCCUAUGGGGAUACGACAGUACCUUCUGAAUAAGCAUCGGCUAACUACGUGCCAGCAGCCGCGGUAAUACGUAGGAUGCAAGCGUUGUCCGGAUUUACUGGGCGUAAAGCGCGCGCAGGCGGCAGGUUAAGUAAGGUGUGAAAUCUCCCUGCUCAACGGGGAGGGUGCACUUUAGACUGACCAGCUAGAGGGCGGUAGAGGGUGGUGGAAUUGCUGGUGUAGCGGUGAAAUGCGUAGAGAUCAGCAGGAACACCCGUGGCGAAGGCGGCCACCUGGGCCGUACCUGACGCUGAGGCGCGAAGGCUAGGGGAGCGAACGGGAUUAGAUACCCCCGUAGUCC
rnacentral:rRNA from 1 species